GUUUGUCACAUGAGGGCACUCCGGUGAAGAACUUAUUUGAAAAAUGUAGCAGGAGAUUCGAAGAACCACAGGUAUGAUAAUACCAAAGGAAUAGCAUUUUUUUAAAGUUUUUAAAAAACGGUAGGGGAAUUUCUGAAGUCCGUCAUUUUGCCCUUGGGGGUGGUGUUAGGCGCUCCGCCUAACGAGCGAAGAUUGUUGAAGGCAAUUGACUUGCGGUACCAUCAGCGAAACUUGAUAUUCAAAUCUGUCAGGAGAGCUACAGUUAUACAGCUAUAUCAUUAAAGAACACAGACUGAAUAAGACGAACAGACUCAGAACUAAGGUAAGGACAAGUCAGUUAAUUAGUUGUUCUUUGUUCCUGUACAUAUUGUUGCAAGACCACAGACCGAUGUUUCCACAGCUACCAGUUCAGCAAUAUGUGCUGCUCUG
rnacentral:lncRNA from 1 species